rnacentral:rRNA from 1 species
UAAUGUAAUAAAUAUAGAGUUAAUGCAUCGGAUCCCAUUAGAACUUUGCAGUGAAGCACACUUGGGCUAGAUUAGUAUUUAGAUGGGUGACCUCCUAAGAAGUCCUUAUUACUAAAA